AGAGUUUGAUCCUGGCUCAGAAUCAACGCUGGCGGCGUGCCUAACACAUGCAAGUCGAACGAGAAAGUGGAGCAAUCCAUGAGUAAAGUGGCGCACGGGUGAGUAACACGUGACUAACCUACCCUUGAGUGGGGGAUAACCUAGGGAAACCUGGGCUAAUACCGCAUAACACCUACGGGUCAAAGGAGCAAUUCGCUUAAGGAGGGGGUCGCGGCAGAUUAGUUAGUUGGCGGGGUAAUGGCCCACCAAGACAGUGAUCUGUAUCCGGCCUGAGAGGGCGCACGGACACACUGGAACUGAAACACGGUCCAGACUCCUACGGGAGGCAGCAGUGGGGAAUUUUGCGCAAUGGGGGAAACCCUGACGCAGCAACGCCGCGUGGAGGAUGAAGUCCCUUGGGACGUAAACUCCUUUCGACCGGGACGAUGAUGACGGUACCGGAAGAAGAAGCCCCGGCUAACUUCGUGCCAGCAGCCGCGGUAAUACGAGGGGGGCGAGCGUUGUUCGGAAUUAUUGGGCGUAAAGGGUGCGUAGGCGGUUCGGUAAGUUUUGUGUGAAAUCUUCGGGCUUAACUCGAAGCCUGCACAAGAUACUGCCGGGCUAGAGUGUGGGAGAGGUGAGUGGAAUUUCCGGUGUAGCGGUGAAAUGCGUAAAUAUCGGAAGGAACACCUGUGGCGAAAGCGGCUCACUGGACCACAACUGACGCUGAGGCACGAAAGCUAGGGGAGCAAACAGGAUUAGAUACCCCCGUAGUCC
rnacentral:rRNA from 1 species